rnacentral:rRNA from 1 species
GACAGUGGCGAACGGGUGCGUAACACGUAGCUAAUCUGCCCCAAAGAGGACGACAACAUCGGGAAACAGGUGCUAAUACUCCAUGCCCUUCUACGGAAGGAAACGCUAAGGCGCUUCGGGAUGAGGCUGCGGCCCAUCAGCUAGUUGGUAACGUAAAAGCUUACCAAGGCGACGACGGGUACGGGACCUGAGAGGGUGGCCCCCCAGACUGGGACUGAGACACGGGCCAGACUCCUACGGGAGGCGGCAGUGAGGAAUCUUGCGCAAUGGACGAAAGUCUGACGCAGCGACACCGCGUGGGCGAAGAAGGUUUUCGGAUCGUAAAGCCCUUUUCUAUGUGACGAGAACGGACGGUAGCAUAGGAAUAAGUCUCGGCUAACUACGUGCCAGCAGCCGCGGUAAAACGUAGGAGGCAAGCGUUAUCCGGAGUUACUGGGCGUAAAGCGCGCGCAGGCGGAUGGUUAAGUCGUCUAGUGAAAGCUCUCGGCUAAACUGGGAGAGGAUGAACAAAACUGGCUGUCUUGAGGGCAGGAGAGGAAAGUAGAAUUCCGCGUGUAAGUGGUGAAAUGCGUAGAUAUGCGGAGGAAUACCAGUGGCGAAGGCGACUUUCUGGCCUGCACCUGACGCUGAGGCGCGAAAGCAUGGGUAGCGAACGGGAUUAGAAAGCCCGGUAGUUCCAUGCCGGUAAACGAUGUUCACUAAAACGUCCGAGUUACAACGGUGGCGUGGGUGUCGAAGCAAACGCGAUAAGUGAACCGCCUGGGGAGUACGAUCGCAACUGUAAAACUCAAAGGUAUUGACGGGGACCCGCACAAGCAGCGGAGCGUGUGGUUUAAUUCGAGGCUACGCGAAGAACCUUACCUGGACUUGACAUCCCAUGACCACCUGUGAAAGCAGGGUUCCCUUCGGGGCAUGGAGACAGGUGCUGCAUGUCUGUCGUCAGCUCGUGCCGUGAGGUGUUCGGUU